rnacentral:sRNA from 1 species
AUGAAAUGGGCCUUGUGUCCUUCAUUGGUCCUUUUUCCAAUACAAGCAGUGUAUUUCCCCAGAGGUCCGGGAACCAGUCGGAGACAGUAAUUUAAAUGUUGAUCAUGGCCUGCCUUUUGGAUCAAGUCUUUGAACCCAUUCCUAACGAAUGCUUAUUAGUGGUAACCUCUGCAUAGCUUUUAUUUUCAUAUGAUUUGAAAAAGUGUUAUAGGGCAGAAACAGGCCUACACCAGUUACGUGUUAGAAACGCUGCAUACAACCAUUAACAUCAUAGAACACAAAUAAUAAGGUGGAAACUAAAAAACCCUCUAGUCCUUGCGGCAAAGGACCUUGUGCAGAGAAAAAGAAUCCAUGUGCUAACGAUCCUUGCGCAAA